GACGAACGCUGGCGGCGUGCCUAAUACAUGCAAGAAGAACGCUGAAGAGAGGAGCUUGCUCUUCUUGGAUGAGUUGCGAACGGGUGAGUAACGCGUAGGUAACCUGCCUUGUAGCGGGGGAUAACUAUUGGAAACGAUAGCUAAUACCGCAUAACAAUGGAUGACACAUGUCAUUUAUUUGAAAGGGGCAAUUGCUCCACUACAAGAUGGACCUGCGUUGUAUUAGCUAGUAGGUGAGGUAAUGGCUCACCUAGGCGACGAUACAUAGCCGACCUGAGAGGGUGAUCGGCCACACUGGGACUGAGACACGGCCCAGACUCCUACGGGAGGCAGCAGUAGGGAAUCUUCGGCAAUGGGGGCAACCCUGACCGAGCAACGCCGCGUGAGUGAAGAAGGUUUUCGGAUCGUAAAGCUCUGUUGUAAGUCAAGAACGGGUGUGAGAGUGGAAAGUUCACACUGUGACGGUAGCUUACCAGAAAGGGACGGCUAACUACGUG
rnacentral:rRNA from 1 species